AGAGACUCUCUGCCUCAGAGACUACAGGGAGAGAGGGAGGAUGGGCCCAAGGUGUAUUCCUCUUACGAUGCCCACCCUUAACUCACCGUGCAUUGCCUGAGGGCCCUGGGCUCUCAGUCUGCAUUGAUUGGAGCUGGGACCGAAGCCCCCAUUCCAGAAACCGGACCAGGAGAUAGGCAAACAAGAAGAAGCCACCCAAUGUGAGAAAGAAAUAAGCAACGGGGGUGAUGUCCGUCUUUAUGCCCAGCAAAGCCAGCCCCAGUAGGAAGGAGGCGCAGCACAGGAGGAGAAGCGGCUUCUCCAGUCUCCCCAGUUCUUCAAUCUCAAAUAAAUCAUCUGUAGAGUCCCCUCCAGUUCCGAAAUUCUCUCUAUGUCUUGGAGUGUGUGGAAUAGCCAGGAAACCAGCCCAGGAGCUUUGACUCCCAGCCAUUCUGCACCUUAAGCAAAAAGGAAGUUAGCCACACAUGGUGGCUCAUGACUGUAGUCUCAGCUACAUGGGAGGCAAGGCGAGAGGAUCUCUUGAGCCCAGGAGUUCGAGGCCAGCCUAGGCAAUGUAGUAAGACCCUGUUCUUAAAUUUUUUUAAAAAGCAAUUGUCUAUAAAUGUGUGUGUUUAUUUCUGAGCUCUGAAUCUUGCUGUGUUGGUCCAUGUGUCUGUUUUUAUAUUAUGCUCUUUUGAUUACUAUAGCUUUCUAGUAUAUUUUGAUGUCAAGAAGUGUGAUACCUCCAGUUUUGUUCUUUUUGCUCAAGAUUGUUUUACUAUCUGGGUAUGUUUUAAUGGUUCCAUACAAAUUUAGGGAUUUUUUUUUCUAUUUCUGUGAAAAAUGACACUGGAAUUUUGAUAGAGAUUGCAUUGAAUUUGUAAAUCGCUUUAGGUAGUAUGGACAUUUUAACGACAUUAAUUCUUUCAUGGGACAACUUUCCAUUUAUUUGUGUCAUUUUCAAUUUCUUUUAUUAGUGUUUUACAGUUUUCAGUACACAGAUGUUUUACCUCAUUUAACCAAUUUUUAAAAAUUUACACCUAAGUUUUUUUUGUUUGUUUUUGUUGUUGCUACUAUAAAUGGGAUUGUUUUCUUAAUUUCUUUUUCAGAUGGUUCACUGUUGGUGUACAAGAAUGCUAGUGAUUUUCGUAUAUUAAUUUUGUAUCCUGCAACUUUAUUGAUAUUGCUUAUCAGUUCUAACAAUUUUUUUGGUGGAAUCUCUAUAGAGUUUUCUAUAUAUAAGAUUAUAUCAUCCACAGAGACAAUUUUACUUCUCCCUUUCAUGUUAGGAUCCCCUUUAUUUCUGUCUCUUGGCUAAUUGCUCUGGCUAGGACUUCCAGUACUAUGUUGAAAAAAAGUGGUGAGAGUGGGCAUUAUGGUCUUAUUCCUGAUGUCAGAGGAAAAGCUUUCAACUUUUCACCUUGAGUAUGAUGUUAGCUGUGAGCUUGUCAUAUAUGGCCUUUAUUGUGUUGUGGUAUAUUCCUUCCAUACCUGUUGAGAGUUUUUAUCGUGAAGAAUAUUGAAUUUUGUCAAAUGAUUUCUACUUCUAUUGAGAUGAUCAUAUGGUUUUUGUCCUUCAUUUUGUUAAUGUGGUGUAUUAUGUUUACUGAUUUGCAUAUGUUGAACCAUCCUUGCAUCCCUGGGAUAAAUCACACUUGCUUACGGUAAAUGAUCUUUUUAGUGUGCUGUUGAAUUAAGUUUAUAGUUUUUUGUUGAGGGUUUUUACACCUAUGUUUAUCAGGGAUAUUGGCCUACAAUUUUCUUUUCUUGUACUGUCCUUGUCUGGCUUUAGUAUGAGGGUAAUGCUGGCUUGUAAAAUGGGUAUGGAAGUGUUCCCUUUACUUCAAUUUUUUUUGGAAGAGUUUAAAAAGAAUUGUUAUUUGAUAUGGUUUGGAUGUUUGUCUCCUCCAAAAUCUCACCUUAAAAUGUGAUCCCUGGUGUUGGAGGUGGUGCCCAGUGGGAGAUGUUGGUUCAUGAAGGCAGAUGUCUCAUGAAUAGGGUGGCUUAGUGCUAUCUCCUUGGUGAUGAGUGAAUUCUUGCUGUGUGAGUCCACACAAGAGCAGAUUGUUUAAAAGGACCUGGCAUCUUGCUUGCUCCCUCUCUCGCCAUGUGACGUGCUGACUCCCCUUUGCCUUCUACCAUGAUUGUAAGCUUCCUGAGACCCUACCAGAAACAGAUGCUGACAUUGUGCUUUCUGUACAGACUGUAGAACUGUGAGCCAAAUAAACCACUUUUCUUCAUAAAUUACCCAGUCUUAGGUAUUCCUUAAUAGCAACAUGAAUGGACUAAUACAGUAUUAGUUUUUUAUAUGUUUGCUAGAAUUCAGCUGUGAAGCCAUCUGGUCCUGGGCUUUUUUUGAUGAAAGACUUUCUAUUACCAACUCAAACAUCUUACUCGUUCUUAGUAUACUGAGAUUUUCUAUUUAUUCAUGAUUCAGUCUUAGUAGGUUGCAUAUGUCUAGAAUUAAUCCAUUUUUUUCUGUUAUCC
rnacentral:lncRNA from 1 species